CUUUACAUUUGCCAAAAGAAGGAAUAUGUUACUUCCUACGUGCACGUAGAGGGGUUUGUGAAAAGUUACCACGUAGAUUUACUGGCUUGUGGCUGCCAAGCGCUCCUAACGACGCAGUUUUUUGAUCCUUCGAUGUUGGCUCUUCCCAUCAUUGGGACGCAUAAGUUUCAAAGUAUCGGAUUGUUCACCCGCUAAUAGGGAACGUGAGCUGGGUUUAGACCGUCGUGAGACAAAUUAGUUUUACCCUACUGGCGAAUUUGCUAUUAUUAUCAUAUACAUAUAGUACCGUGACAGCAAUGCAGCUUGGCACGAGAGGAUUAGUUGGUGCAGCAAGUGGUGGUCAAACCAGCGUUGCGAAGUUAAGUAGGUUGGCUAGUGGCCGAACGGUUUUGAAGCCAUAAUCGUAACCCAUGUUGAUUAAACAGUAUCAUUGUGAUCCUUUUUGUAACAAAUUUUUUACCGUCGAUGUGAAAGGGAAACUAUAUGUGCAGAUUUUGUAACAACCAACAGGAGCAGUAUUAAUCCCAUUAGCAUAGUAAUAUGCGUUUUUUUUUCCCAAUUUGCGCAAAGGCAAUGCAAAAAUUGCACCUUAACAACAGGAAAGAUUUAUCUGUGUUUGUAGACGACUAACAUCAACCCUGGGUGCCGUAAACAUGAAAGUAAACUUUGUUUUACGAUCUGUUGAGGCUUACCCUCGGUGAUAUAAG